rnacentral:lncRNA from 1 species
ACCGCUUUCCUCUUUGAUGGAUGACGCCUAUCUUCUCUCGCUGUCGCUUUGUGCCAACGUAUGCUCACUAUAGCCCAACAUGCCCUCUGUUAGCAACAUAAGAUCUCAUAUCCUCUUCGCUGCGAUGCCUCUAAUGUUGUGUUUACCAGCAUUGCUCCCCCUUCUUCCUUGCUAAUAGCCAUCGCCUGAUCUGCACCAAAUGGUCGCCCCUCCUCCUCCUACGAUCAUUCCCUGGGAACCGAUAGGGAGAAGGAACUUCUUGUGAGAACCUUUGCCUCGAAGGACAUAUCUCGGUGGCCGCUACUAGCUACACCGCCGAAGCUUGCUAUGCGAAAGACAACAAUAGACUUCUUCCUCUUCUGAUCUGCCUAACUAACGAAUAAGUAGUAGCAGCCCUUUGCCACUGAUUUCUAAACUCUGCCAUCG